UGGCACCUUAUUAUAACUAUUUCUUACAACUUGCUCUAAAACACCAAUUAUGAUGUAUCUAGAUAGUUUUUAGAGAGCUCUGGAAUUGGGCAUGCCUAAAUUUACAAACCAAAUGCAAAAUAAGAACAGUUAUAUUAUAAAGUCUGAGUGAUGCUGAGAAAGAGAACCUAAGUUGAAGUGAAAAGUGAGGCACCAAAAUUGCAAAAUAAUGGAGUCGUUUCAAUUAAUAGUAUUCUAUCACCUAUUCAUCCAACUAUAUGAAGCAUUUAACAAAUAGUGGACUGCCCUACUUCAUACUCUCCAAGAGAUUUCAAUUGAUAAAAGAGGCUGAGUCUCUAUCACCUUCCCAUAUCUGCUAUGAAGAAAAACUUGCGUUUCAAUUGAGGGCAGAACAGUUUUCCUUCUCCUUCUUUUUUCAAAACACCGUUUGCUAUGAAACAUGAUGACUAGAAGCCCUCAAUUCCAAUCUUAAGCUCUAGUUUGUAUCACCUACCCAUAGUUCUAUAAAGAAUCCCUCCACUAUAACUUAUACCAGCACGGCUUCUAAAGGCUCCACCCCAAUUGAUUGCAAGAAAACCAUAAUUUUCCUUCAUUUCACAACUAGAGAUCUAGGAAACUCAGCAUGCAUGAAUUCAUUUGAAAGCCUAUGGGUAAUGAACAAAAGUAUGCCCCAGUUCCCAGUCAUGCCCACUACUUCAAGGGUAAUUUUCUGAGAGUUACUCAUUUCCCUUCACACACAACAGUAGCUUGACAAAAGUAAUGAAAGAAAGAAAAGGGAAAAAAUUCUCUAGAGUACUACCAAGAUACCAACAUGGCAGGACAUGGUAGGAGUUCCAUACAGAUUGGCUCAAACCGAUCUAUUGUAGACAUGAAAAUAGGAAUCAACCCGAUUAACAGUAUAUUAUUGUUCUAUUUGAAGGUUCCCGUCAUAACAUGGUGUUUGAAUACUGACACAAGAAAAAGAUUUGACAUUGAAAACAAUGCCAGCAAAUUACCAUUUCAUUUAAGCAAAAUUACUUGGUAUUUGGAUAAAAAGUUGAAAAACCAAGUUUGCACAACAACUGGAUUCAAGACAACAGAUACCACACCCUCAAGUGCUUAAACUUCCUUGCAGUUUUAAAAGUAAUGAAUUGCAACACAAGCACUGAAAUGCAAUGCUUCAAACCUAACAACUCCAACUAUUCAAUGCACCCCCUGCCAACCAUGUUUCAGGCCAAUUUCAUGAAUGAUUCAAUAUGGUUCAUUGUCAAUAUCAAACAGAAGGAACUGAGAGAGAGUAUAAUCCUACAACCCAUUCAAGCUAAUUUCAGCUCUCCUCGACAAACAUGCACUACAACUGAAGACAUGCAAGACUUUUUUUCUUCUUCUUACAAUAGGCAAUAAAAUAGAAUAUAUUAAAAGAGGCCUAACAAAAUUAGGGGCAGAUCCAUGCAUAUGAAGUGUACUAGCAGCACUCAAAAACCUUACACAUGAAAGGCUUUGACAAUAAGGUGGCAUUGAUUCUUACAGCAUUAAAAAUUUUACCAAUAGCAAAAGAUGUUCAAACAACAUGUGGAAGAGAAAAUGGAACCUUAACACAGAUAUAACGUAGCUUUAAACAUCAAACCAACCCCACUAGAAAUACUUACG
rnacentral:lncRNA from 1 species